rnacentral:lncRNA from 1 species
AUUAAAUUAGAAAGUAACAUGAUCUCAUCUGGAAUAUUUCAACCCUAUUUCCAGUCUGUCAUUUAUACAGAAGAGGGAAAAUGUAUGGAAUUUGAAUGCAUUGAAAAUUCUUUUUCCACUGGAUCAUUUACAUAAAAUAAUUAAAAUCCUAAAGAUAAUUUUUGUGAAUCAAUUGUUAUCAAGAACAAAUGAACUGUCCACCAUUGUAAAUUUCGCCAACUUUACAACAAAAAGUUCACCUCUGUAACUUCUGCUGCUUCAUGCCUGGUACAUCUCAACUAGCAGAACUUAAUUGCCUAAUACAACAGCCAGUGCACUUCACAGGGGGCAAAAAGGUCUAACACACAAGAAUUCUGGAGAAUAACAAUGCCUACAAAGAUUCAUUAGCAAUAUUUUAAUCUUUAAAAAAUUAAUGGGUUGCAUAAUGAAAAUUAUGACCUAAAAUGAAAUGGCAUUACCAGAAAUAAUUUUUGUACAUGCCGAAACUUUACAUGGGCUAUAAACAGUUUGAUGACUUUUGUACUUCAGUUUCAAAUUCUCUUACAUUGCCAACAACUUCUUGGAUUUUUGACGAGAGAAGUUCUGUUUGCUCCUCAACAUUUUUCAAUAGUGUAAUUAGCUGCUCUCGGUAAAGAGCACAUAACUUAUCCUGAUGUUCCAACUCCAAUGUUAAUACUUGUAUUCUCCUGUCCUUGUGAUCCUACAAAAAGAAAUCCCCAAUCAUC